GGCCACUAUUGAGUCUGCAAGUGUUUUUUCCAUGUGGUGCGCAAAAUUGGUCACCCUAAGGGGAAAAAAAUGGAGAAGAGUGUUGUGUUGUGAGUAAUAGUAUUGUGGUUUGCAGUGGUUUUCUUAGUAAGUGAAGUGAUGAUAGUGCAAUUUGUAUACUAUAGGAUUCUAUGUAACCGGGCAAAUCUAUAAAGUAUUGUGGUUUGCAGUGGUUUUCUUAGUAAGUGAAGUGAUGAUAGUGCAAUUUGUAUACUAUAGGAUUCUAUGUAACCGGGCAAAUCUAUAAAGAAUAUAAAGUUUAUGCUCCACACACCUUCAAUGCUUUCAAUUUCCAUUCAAAUUCUUUU
rnacentral:lncRNA from 1 species